GAUGAACGCUGGCGGCGUGCCUAACACAUGCAAGUCGAACGUGAGGGGGUAGCAAUAUCCCUGAAAGUGGCGCACGGGUGAGUAAGACGUAGGUGACCUGCCCUGGAGUGGGGGGUAACAGCUAGAAAUGGCUGCUAAUACCGCAUAAUACGAGAAUGCUGGGAAGUGUUCUGGUAAAAGCUCUGGUGCUUCAGGAGGGGCCUGCGGCCGAUUAGCUAGUUGGCGGGGUAAGAGCCCACCAAGGCAGUGAUCGGUAGCUGGUCUGAGAGGACGAUCAGCCACACGGGAACUGAGACACGGUCCCGACUCCUACGGGGGGCAGCAGUGAGGAAUAUUGGGCAAUGGGCGCAAGCCUGACCCAGCAACGCCGCGUGGAGGAAGACGGCCUUCGGGUUGUAAACUCCUUUUACGGGGGAAGAGGAAGGACGGUACCCCGCGAAUAAGUCACGGCUAACUACGUGCCAGCAGCCGCAGUAAC
rnacentral:rRNA from 1 species